GAUGAACGCUGGCGGCGUGCCUAACACAUGCAAGUCGAGCGAACAGACGCGAAGCUUGUUUCUCGGAUGUUAGCCGAGGACGUGUGUGUAACGCGUGGAUAACCUACCUAUAAGACUGGUAUGACUUCGGGAAACCGUAGCUUACACCGGAUGAUAUGUUUAACCGCAUGGUUCAUAAGUGAAAGACGUUCUUGCUGUCUCUGAUAGAUGGAUCCGCGCUGCAUUAGCUAGUUGUUAAGGUAACGGCCUACCAAGGCAACGAUGCGUAGCCGACCUGACCGGGGGAUCGCCGACACGGGAGCUGGGACAGCGACCCGGGUCCUACGAGAGGCAGCAGUAUGCAACGUGCGGCAAUGGGCGAGAGCCUGACGGAGCGACGCCGAGUGAGUGGUAGAGGCGUUCGGAUCGUGAUGCUCUGUUAUGAGGUAAAAACAUCUGUGUAAGGAGCAGUGGAGAUCGUGACGGUACCUAAAGAGGAAGCCACGGCUAACUACGUG
rnacentral:rRNA from 1 species